AUGGGCCUGGGCAUGGGGACACCUCCAGACCACGGGCCCGCCCAGGGCUGCUCUGGCCUCUGCCAACGACCUCCCGUCUCUCCCCGACCCCCAGGUCAGCCUAAAGCCGCUCCCACGGUCAGCCUCUUCCCGCCCUCCACUGAGGAGCUCAACACCAACAAGGCCACCCUGGUGUGUCUAAUAAGUGACUUCUACCCGGGCGCCGUGACGGUGACCUGGAAGGCAGGCGGCACCGUCAUCACCAAGGGCGUGGAGACCACCAAGCCCUCGAAACAGAGCAACAACAAGUACGCGGCCAGCAGCUACCUGGCCCUGUCCGCCAGUGACUGGAAAUCUUCCAGCGGCUUCACCUGCCAGGUCACCCACGAGGGGACCAAUGUGGAGAAGACAGUGACGCCCUCCGAGUGCGCCUAGGUCCCUGGGCCCCCACCCUCAGGGGCCUGGAGCCACAGGACCCCCGCGAGGGUCUCCCCGCGACCCUGCUCCAGCCCAGCCCUUCCUCCUGCACCUGUCAACUCCCAAUAAACCGUCCUCCUUGUCAUUCAGAAA